rnacentral:rRNA from 1 species
AACGCGAAGAACCUUACCUAGGCUUGACAUUGAUAGAAUCUGCUAGAGAUAGCGGAGUGCUGGCUUGCCAGAGCUUGAAAACAGGUGCUGCACGGCUGUCGUCAGCUCGCGUCGUGAGAUGUUGGGUUAAGUCCCGCAACGAGCGCAACCCUCGUCCUUAGUUGCUAGCAGUUCGGCUGAGCACUCUAAGGAGACUGCCUUCGUAAGGAGGAGGAAGGUGAGGAUGACGUCAAGUCAUCAUGGCCCUUACGCCUAGGGCUACACACGUGCUACAAUGGGGUGUACAAAGAGAAGCAAUACUGCGAAGUGGAGCCAAUCUCUAAAACAUCUCUCAGUUCGGAUUGUAGUCUGCAACUCGACUACAUGAAGCUGGAAUCGCUAGUAAUCGCAAAUCAGCCAUGUUGCGGUGAAUACGUUCCCGGGUCUUGUACACACCG